UACGGAGGAUUCGAGCGUUAUCCGGAUUUAUUGGGUUUAAAGGGUGCGUAGGCAGUCGGAUAAGUUAGAGGUGAAAUCCCGGGGCUCAACUUCGGAAUUGCCUCUGAUACUGUUCGGCUAGAGAGUAGUUGCGGUAGGCGGAAUGUAUGGUGUAGCGGUGAAAUGCUUAGAGAUCAUACAGAACACCGAUUGCGAAGGCAGCUUACCAAGCUACUUCUGACGUUGAGGCACGAAAGCGUGGGGAGCAAACAGG
rnacentral:rRNA from 1 species